UACGGAGGGUGCAAGCGUUAUCCGGAUUCACUGGGUUUAAAGGGUGCGUAGGUGGGCAGGUAAGUCAGUGGUGAAAUCUCUGGGCUCAACCCGGAAACUGCCGUUGAUACUAUUUGUCUUGAAUAGAGUGGAGGUGAGCGGAAUAUGUCAUGUAGCGGUGAAAUGCUUAGAUAUGACAUAGAACAUCGAUUGCGAAGGCAGCUCGCUACACUCUUAUUGACACUGAGGCACGAAAGCGUGGGGAUCAAACAGG
rnacentral:rRNA from 1 species